rnacentral:misc_RNA from 1 species
GAAAUGCGAUAAGUAAUGUGAAUUGCAGAAUUCAGUGAAUCAUCGAAUCUUUGAACGCACAUUGCGCCCGCCAGCACUCUGGCGGGCAUGCCUGUUCGAGCGUCAUUUCAACCCUCAGAACCCCUUGCGGGAUCUGGCGUUGGGGAUUGGCAUACAGCCAGCCCCGAAAUCUAGUGGCGGUCCCUCCGCGACCUCCCCUGUGCAGUAGCGAUACCUCGCAGCGGGACAGCGGUCUGACCACGCCGUAAAACCCCCAACUUCUCAAGGUUGACCUCGAAUCAGGUAGGAAUACCCGCUGAACUUAAGC